AGCCUAAACUCCUUAAAAGGAGCAUGGCACAAAUCCGGUAAAGGGUAUUAAGCUCCUCGUCGAGCACCUUUACCGGUCAUAUGCCGAAAGGUAUAUGGGUGGUCGCAAGACUAUC
rnacentral:sRNA from 1 species